AAGUAUAAGCAAAGUUUAUACUGCGAAACUGCGAAUGGCUCAUUAAAACAGUUAUAGUUUAUUUGAUGAUCACAUUACUACAUGGAUAACCGUAGUAAUUCUAGAGCUAAUACAUGCGCACAUUCCCGACUGGUUUCGGCCUGGAAGGGAAGUAUUUAUUAGAUAAAGAAUCAACUACCGCCUCUGGUGGUAUUUGCAGAUGAUUCAUGAUAACUUUUCGGAUCGCAUCAGCUUUAAUUGCUGGCGAUAGAUCAUUCAAAUUUCUGCCCUAUCAGCUUUUGAUGGUAGUGUAGCGGACUACCAUGGCAUUAACGGGUGACGGGGAAUUAGGGUUCGAUUCCGGAGAGGGAGCCUGAGAAACGGCUACCACAUCCAAGGAAGGCAGCAGGCGCGCAAAUUACCCAAUCCUGACACAGGGAGGUAGUGACAAUAAAUAACGAUACCGGACAUUUUGUUUGGUAAUUGGAAUGAGUACAGUUUAAACCCCUUAACGAGUAGCAAUUGGAGGGCAAGUCUGGUGCCAGCAGCCGCGGUAAUACCAGCUCCAAUAGCGUAUAUUAAAGUUGUUGCAGUUAAAAAGCUCGUAGUUGGAUUUCUGUCAGUUUUGAGGGCGGUUCCGCUUGGGGAGUUUGGGAUUCAUUUUCCAUAUUUCCCCGUUAGUGUUUGAGCUGCUUUCCUGGCAUCUUUCAUGGAGAGCCUCUCGACUCUUAACUGAGUUCGGGUGGUGAUCCUGAUCAGUUACUUUGAAAAAAUUAGAGUGUUCAAAGCAGGCUUACGCUGUGAAUACAUUAGCAUGGAAUAACAACAUAGGACUUCGGUUUUUUCCUAUUUUGUUGGUUUCUAGGACUGAAGUAAUGAUUGAUAGGGAUAGUUGGGGGUGCUAGUAUUCAACGGCCAGAGGUGAAAUUCUGUGAUUCGUUGAAGACUAACUUAUGCGAAAGCAUUCACCAAGGAUGUCUUCUUUAAUCAAGAACGAAAGUUGGGGGAUCGAAGACGAUCAGAUACCGUCGUAGUCUCAACCAUAAACUAUGCCGACUAGGGAUUGGUGGUAGUUGUUAUUUCUACUUGACUCCAUCAGCACCUUAUGAGAAAUCAAAGUCUUUGGGUUCCGGGGGGAGUAUGGUCGCAAGGCUGAACUUAAAGGAAUUGACGGAAGGGCACCACCAGGAGUGGAGCCUGCGGCUUAAUUUGACCCAACACGGGAAAACUAACCAGGUCCAGACAUAGUAAGGAUUGACAGAUUGAAGAUCUUUCUUGAUUCUACGGGUGGUGGUGCAUGGCCGUUCUUAGUUGGUGGAGUGAUUUGUCUGGUUAAUUCCG
rnacentral:rRNA from 1 species